rnacentral:rRNA from 1 species
CAAACUUGAGAGUUUGAUCCUGGCUCAGAACGAACGCUGGCGGCAUGCCUAACACAUGCAAGUCGAACGAAGGCUUCGGCCUUAGUGGCGCACGGGUGC